CCCCAUGGACCAUGGGCCUCCUCGGUCCCCCCAGCAACCUCCUCUGCUAAGCUUCACGGCCACUGAAAACCCUGCUGCCGGGUUCCCUGGGCCCUGGUUCACAGUGCAGCCUUAGGGCUUUAGGAUACGGGUUAUGUGGUAGCCAGCAGCAGCCGGGAGAGGAUAGCUGCUCUUCAGCACUCUGCAGGCAGAAAGUGCUAAGCUUUGCCAUGCAAAGAUAUAGGCCACAUCAUCCCUCUUCCUCCCCUCCCUCCCACACAGUGCCAAAAGGCUGCUGCUGGCCACAUCGGAUGUGAACUCCAGCAGAAAUCUGGGGGAGCGAUGGCCCCAUAUGCCCCCUCCCCACGUGUUGCCACAGGAAGGCACAGUGCCAUGUACUGAGGGAGACAGCUCGGACCCUGGAGCUCAGCCAGGCAAGACGGGCAGAGAAUGACAAGCAGGGCGCUCCUGGUUGCUCAGUCCACUCUGUAUGAGAGAGGGGUAUGUGGGUGGGGAGGGCAACAGCCUCAACCUGUGAGCACUAAAGCCUUAAAAGCAAGACAGUAAAUAAAGAGAAGCCCGCUACACAGUAUUUUUUAACAGCUCAAGUAAACUUGAUGUGACUUUGAACAGGUACUCUGCAUGGUUCUUGCUUGAAUACAGGCAAUUGUACAAAGUGUCUCGUAUUCAGCAUAAGGGAACACGGUUAUUCUAAUUAUUCUAUCCCAGCAAACAUUCCCGUUAGUGUCAAGGUCGAGUUCAGGGGAAACUGAGGUGGCAGCAAUUUUCAGUUUUACUAAUCUGAAGAGACAUGAUUCGGGAAUAAUGUCAUUGCUGGAACCUCUCUAUCCAUUCAGUUGGGUUCAUUUGAAACCAUGCUUCAAAGCACUUUCUCUGAUAUGUAAGGAAUAAGGCAUUCGCCUGCCCCUCUCAGUCUGACACAGGUGGCAUUUCCAACAAGGACUUUUAAGGGAGGAAAUGGAAAAUUACCUGGAUACUAAAUAUCUUCACGUGAAAAGUUUUAUUGAAACAAUUGUGCAGGAUUACUCCAACAAUCAAUGGAUAAUGCCUGAUUUGACAGCAGCCUGGAGAAAGAUUUGAUUUGGCACUCUUAUGACAUCAAAUAUAAAUAUGAAAUAAAUCCAUUAAAUAACCGAAAGCUACUUUUAUGCGCCAAACAAAAAUGACACAAGCAACACGGCUGCAUCGUGUCCUAAUUUCUCAGUGGCCCAGAAAGCCUUGAAAUAAAUCCUGGGUCCAGCAGUUUAGACAAGCUGAUGAGAGCAGACCCUGACUGUCUUACAUGAUUAAAGGCGAUGUCACAGCUCAUUGGGGACUAUGCUUUCUAGGCACCCUCCUGGCAUUGCUCUACGUGACUGGAUACCAAAAUAAGCGUGACAACCCCACACUAGGAAAACUAACGACAAAACAGAGGUUUCCGAACUUUCAUCAAUAGCUGAGCAUAAAUUAAGUUGCUGUCAGAUCAUUGUCAGAUCCAUUUUCUCUGAACCAACACCACGUUAAAAACCUGCCGUACGUUUUCUUAUGCCAAGAGGAAAUUGUCGUUUCAGGAUAUUUUAUAUCGUGAUGAACAUACAAAAUAUAUUCCUGCGGCAACUGCUGCUUUAAUUCAUUUGGUUUCCCAGGAGCAUCGUGGACAAAGGCACAGAAGACAAACAGCUCAGAAUUCUUUUAAAGCUACUAGUUCAUGUCAUCGCAACAGAGCUCUGCCUACGGUGCGAGCGGAAGACAGGUGCUGGGUCUCAGACAGGAGAGGCAAUACCACAUGCAACAGACAACUUUAAAGCACUUCACUCUAAGUGAAGGCAACUAGACACCCCAACAGCCAUUCCUGAAUUACAGCCUCUGAAUGGUAGGGGCUUCACAUUUCAAUGAUCAGGGUAUGGCCCAAUCAGAAGACAAACCCCUGCACUGCCAAGGAUCAGCAAAUAGGCUGUGUCCCAGCCCUGCACAUGACUAAAUUUGCUUCUGUCCAUCAUCUGGGUCAUAUAUAGUUCAAUUCAAGUAGAGCAGACAGGGCUGCAAGGAAAUCUGGAGCAGUUCAAUACCUCGUCUAGCCUGCUUUUGUGCCUCUCAUAUUUAGUGACAAACUCAUGGCUACGUUCCUCUCAGAACAGAAUCCCAUGCUGGCUGGGAGUGCUACUGCCACUCUCAAAUUGUAUUUUGAGCUCUAGAGAAGUUACUCUCCUGCCUGCACCAGCUACAACUUUUUUUGGACAAAGAUCCAACUACAAAAAGUCUUUAAGCUAACAGUUUGGGACUACUCUGUUUCUUGCACUAGCUUGGUGAUUACCAAAAUAAAGCAAACACCAAACCUUAGACCGGGGAAAAGCUUCGUCAGGUCCCACUGCCCUCACCCCCAAGUCCUUCAGAAGUAGCUCCUCAAAGGAAGGUGAGCAACUCUCAGAUCUGAGCCAAUGAACUGAGUAUAAAGACCAGCAGGCCUACCAGCAGAAUUUAUAUUAAAAGCCUGCCCCCACUCCUAUCACGUCAGCUGAGCACCAGAAGCAAGUCCAACCUUUACCUCUAUCACAAAAAAGGUUGGAGGGUCUGGAGUGGAACAGAAAAUGUUUAGGGACUUGCUAAUCCAACCCUCUGAAACACUUCUACAGCAUUACAAUCACUGUUCCAGCCACUCAGCAUUAGAUGGAAUUCAUC